rnacentral:misc_RNA from 1 species
UUUUCUAUAUAUUCUUCUUCUUCCUCUUCCUCUUCCGUUUCUGCUUCUGUUCCUUUUUUUCUUGGGAAUUUCGACUUGAACGGAAGGUUGACUGAGAAAACGGUGGAUGAGGAUGUUUGGAAGGACAUUGUCCAUCAAGAACAUGUCAAUGCAAAGGAAAAAGAAUCAAGAAUUCAGCAGCAAAUCGGAGAAACUACGCUAGAGGAUUUCCUGGUUCGCACCGGAGUGAUCAAUAUAGAGAAUCAAAAUGCGCUUAAUCCUCAGCCAAUUAUGGCGAUUGAUCCAAUGGUUGUGGUAUCACAGCAGGCAGAUUGGCUGCAGCUUCAAAUGGCAGCUGUGCAGAGACAGCAACAGCAGCAGAUGACAGUAUUGGAUUCGAAUUUUCAUGUAUCUGAGCCAUCAGUUUUUGAGAACCCAGUUAUUGAUGUUGGAUACUCAGAGAACCAACUGGGAAUGACCAUGCAAGCGCCAGCAAUGUCAGCUACAUCUUCAGAGUCUCAGGCAGCUGCUGUAAAGAAGCGACGAUAUUCGGAUGAGAUAAUGGAGAAG